CAAUCGAAGCAGUGAACUUAAGCCCCAGUAAACGGCGGCCGUAACUAUAACGGUCCUAAGGUAGCGAAAUUCCUUGUCGGGUAAGUUCCGACCCGCACGAAAGGCGUAACGAUUUGGGCACUGUCUCAACAACAGACUCGGUGAAAUUGUAAUUCCGGUGAAGAUGCCGGAUACCUGCGACAGGACGGAAAGACCCCAUGGAGCUUUACUGUAGCUUGACAUUGGGUCUUGGUACUACAUGUACAGGAUAGGUGGGAGGCUUUGAAACCAGGACGCCAGUUUUGGCGGAGCCAUCCUUGGGAUACCACCCUUGUAGUACUGGGACUCUAACCAUAGGCCAUGAAUCUGGUCUUGGGACACUGUCAGGUGGGCAGUUUGACUGGGGCGGUCGCCUCCCAAAAGGUAACGGAGGCGCUCAAAGGUUCUCUCAGUACGGUCGGAAAUCGUACGUAGAGUGUAAAGGCAAAAGAGAGCUUGAUUGCAAGACAUACAGGUCGAGCAAGGAUGAAAAUCGGACUUAGUGAUCCGGUGGUUCUGCGUGGAAGGGCCAUCGCUCAACGGAUAAAAGCUACCCUGGGGAUAACAGGCUUAUCUCCCCCAAGAGUCCACAUCGACGGGGAGGUUUGGCACCUCGAUGUCGGCUCAUCACAUCCUGGGGCUGUAGUAGGUCCCAAGGGUUGGGCUGUUCGCCCAUUAAAGUGGUACGCGAGCUGGGUUCAGAACGUCGUGAGACAGUUCGGUCCCUAUCCGUCGCAGGCGUAGGAAAUUUGAGAAGA
rnacentral:rRNA from 1 species